AAGGUGCGGCGGCUCGAUUCAAAUUUAAACACGUGGUUCAUGUUCGAGUUAGGUAUGUGGUUCUAGUUUCGGGUCAUGAAUUGGGGUUUGAAUAUGAUUUGAUUUCUGGUUCGAGUAUUUCAAGUGGGUUCGGGUCGGCUCGGGUGCUCGUCUCGGGUCAACAGUGGGUUCUGGCCAGUUGGAGAUGCGGAUCAGAUUUUGUGUUUCGGUUCAUUGUAGUUUCAGUUUUGGUUCGAGUUUCGGUUCAUUUCGACUCACGCGGCGGUUCUUUCUACGUGUUCGAAGACGUCGCCAGGAACAACCGGAACCCAUAGCUUCGCCGGAGCCGAACGGAGAUCACCACAGGAACCUUUUCGACUCGUUUCGGAGUCGCAAUCGCAACCACUCAUAAACUCGAGACUUCAGUGUUCCUUCCUCCUAAUCUCUUACGCUCGUCAACACUUGGAUAAUCGGAAGACUUAGCAAUUAUGUUGAGGUUUGAUGAUGCUAUGAAAACGGACUAGCAAAGAUGCCUAGAUACUCACUUAGACGUCUUAGGUCAAAUACGUUGUAUAAAUUUCAUAUUUGUUGUUGUAUUGUUCUCUUGUAUUUUUAAUGUAUUGUAACAUUUAUUCAUGAAUGAAAUCAAUUUAUCUUUAA